rnacentral:rRNA from 1 species
GACGAACGCUGGCGGCGUGCUUAACACAUGCAAGUCGAACGGAAAGGCCCUGCUUUUGUGGGGUGCUCGAGUGGCGAACGGGUGAGUAACACGUGAGUAACCUGCCCUUGACUUUGGGAUAACUUCAGGAAACUGGGGCUAAUACCGGAUAGGAGCUCCUGCUGCAUGGUGGGGGUUGGAAAGUUUCGGAGGUUGGGGAUGGACUCGCGGCUUAUCAGCUUGUUGGUGGGGUAGUGGCUUACCAAGGCUUUGACGGGUAGCCGGCCUGAGAGGGUGACCGGCCACAUUGGGACUGAGAUACGGCCCAGACUCCUACGGGAGGCAGCAGUGGGGAGUAUUGCACAAUGGGCGGAAGCCUGAUGCAGCAACGCCGCGUGCGGGAUGACGGCCUUCGGGUUGUAAACCGCUUUCGCCUGUGACGAAGCGUGAGUGACGGUAAUGGGUAAAGAAGCACCGGCUAACUACGUG